rnacentral:tRNA from 1 species
AAAAUUUUAGUAUAAUAAAGUAUAGUUUAUUGUCAAUAAGCAGGUUAAAAUUUUA